UGGGGAAUAUUGCACAAUGGGCGAAAGCAUGAUGCAGCGACGCCGCGUGAGGGAUGACGGCCUUCGGGUUGUAAACCUCUUUCAGUAGGGACGAAGCGCAAGUGACGGUACCUGCAGAAGAAGCACCGGCUAACUACGUGCCAGCAGCCGCGGUAAUACGUAGGGUGCGAGCGUUGUCCGGAAUUACUGGGCGUAAAGAGCUCGUAGGCGGUUUGUCACGUCGUCUGUGAAAUCCUAGGGCUUAACCCUGGACGUGCAGGCGAUACGGGCUGACUUGAGUACUACAGGGGAGACUGGAAUUUCUGGUGUAGCGGUGGAAUGCACAGAUAUCAGGAAGAACACCGAUGGCGAAGGCAGGUCUCUGGGUAGUAACUGACGCUGAGGAGCGAAAGCAUGGGUAGCGAACAGG
rnacentral:rRNA from 1 species